UGCCACGAUAACUGACACGAAAAGCGUGUUACCUUUUUUCUUUGACAUAAUUUACUUUACCUUAUGAUGACUCUCUCCCUCUCUCUCUCUACCAUCUGAAUUUGCAUCUCUCCCUCUCUCUCAAUCUGCAAUCCCUCAAUCUCUAUUCUCUCUCUCUACCAUCUGAAUUUGCAUCUCUCUCUCAGAAUCUGCAAUCCCUCAAUCUCACUGUCUGACAUCUUCUGAAUCUUCACUUUCCGUUCUUCUAUUUUAUUUGUCUCGGAUCAGACUUGGAAUAUGCCAGAGGUAUGUGUUUAAUUUUCUUCUUUAGUUUCCUCAACAACUCUUUUUAACCUCUCUGUUUUUCUGGUGCUCCCAUUUCCUGCUUUGUAUUUUGCUCUCUUACAUGCUUCUGAUUUUCCCUCACUUACUCUGUCUCUCUCUUAGUUUUUGUGUUAAAUGUGAAUUAGGCUCUCUCUUAGACCUGAAUUUGUGUCUCUCUUGUGAAUCUUUACUUUUCUUUCCCCCCAAAAAAAUAAAAUAAAAAAAUCUUCACUUUUGUUUGCCAUUCAAAAUCAAACUGUGUGUAUUUGUCUUGAAGUCUCUUUCUUUAAUUUCUUAGCUUUCUCGUUAUUGAAAAACAAAACAAAAACAAAAACACAUCCACUCUUGUUUGUUUUGAAGUCUCUUCCAUUAAUUUCUUAGCUUUUUCCUUAUCUAAGAAACAGUUCGUAAGCUUUCUGAAUUUCUGUUGGCAAUUCUGUAUUGCAUCGUCUCCUUAGAGAGAGAAGAAAAAGAAACAAAUUGAAAGUUGCUUGUGAAUUCAAAAUGGCCGACAAUAUUGCUAGUAAUAUUGUGGGAACGAUGUUGGAGCCGAUCAGAGACAGCUUGUACAAAAUCAUCAGGCGUCAAUUUGGUUAUUUGUUCCACUACAAGGAAAACAUUAAAGAUUUCGAAGAUGAAGUUAAUAAACUCAGAGACGCAAUGACAAGUGUCCAAACAAGGGUGGAUGCAGCAUUGAACAAUGCUGAAGUCGUUGAGGAUAAUGUUUCGAGGUGGCUGACCGAAGUGCAGAGCUCCUUGCAUACGAUGGAAGAAGUCAGCAACAGAUUACAGCAAGGCACAGAAAAUCUCAAGUGUAUUGAUGUAUGCUCGCGGUACCAGUUGGGUAAGGAAGGAAAAAAGAAGCAGCCUCAUGUUACCAAGCUUAUAGAGGCUGGCAAUUUUGACUCCGUUGGACACCGACCUCCUCUCACUGGUAUUUGGCACAAAACAUACAGCGUAAGAAUUUUCAAUCCAGGGAGUUGGUUUUUGAGAAGAUCAUGAAGGCACUUAAAGAUGGUCGGAAUUACAAGAUUGGGAUACAUAGAAUCCCAGGUGUUAGAAAAACAAGGAUGAUGAAGGAAGUUGCCCAACAAGCUGAUAAAGAUCAGCUUUUUGAUGAGAUUGCUGCGAUAGUUUUCACCCAGAAUCCAAAUCUGAAAGAAAUUCAACAGAAACUUGCAGAAGGUUUGAAUUUGACAUUAGAUAAAGAAUCUGAAGAAGCGAGGAAGGGUCUACUACUCAAUAGAUUAAAAGGUGGUAAGAAGAUCCUUGUAAUGAUCGAUGAUAUUUGGAAUGAUAAAAUUAAGGUGGAGGAUAUAGGAUUUCCGGUUACCAAUGAUCAUGUCAAGGGUUGCAAAAUUUUAUUCACCUCUCAGCAUCAAGAUGUGUGUAAAGAUAUGGGGGUUCCUGAAAAUGAAAAUUUUCAAAUUAGACUCUUAUCGGAAGAUGAAGCAUGGUCCCUAUUCGAGAAGAAGGUGGGAGAUUCUAUCAAACCUCAUGAUAUGCGUCUUGUAGUGGAAGUGGUGUGUAAAGAAUGUGCAUGUUUGCCCUUUGGCAAUACUUGCAGUUGGAGGAGCAUUAAAGAAUAAGACUAAGCAUAUAUGGGAAGAUGCACUUGAACAUUUGAGAAAUUCCACGGGAGAGAACAUUGAAGAUGCUGAUAUUUCUAUAGAUGACUUGGUGAGCUAUGGAUUUGGAAUGAGGCUUCUCCGAUGCGUGGAUACAAUGAAAACAGCUAGGAAUAGAGCUCAUACAAUUGUCGAUACCCUCAAGAGAUAUUCUCUGCUAUUAGAAGGUAGAAACAAAAACUUCUUGAAAAUGCACGAUGUCAUUCGAGAUGUGGCUAUAUCAAUUUCAUCAAAAGAAGAUGUCAUGUAUCUAGUGAAAGUAGGUGUGGAAAAGUGGCCGGAGGAGGAUGAAAGUAAAAGAUGCAGAGGAAUCUCAUUAAGGUUCAACAAGGAUUUUGUGCUUCCCGUUCAUUCAGAAUGUCCGGAACUGCGCACGUUAAUGCUGGAAUGCGUCGGUGGUUUAUCAAAAGUUCCGAGUAGCUUUCUUGAAGGGAUGAAGAAGCUUGAAGUUUUACAUUUGCGUGGCAUGUGCAUCUCGACAGUACCAAUAUCGUCACUUCAAAAUCUUCGGAUGUUACGGCUACACUACUGCAAAUUGGUGAACCUAGCUUUUCUCAAGGAGUUACAAAAACCUGAGAUACUAAGCAUUCUAAAUUUUUCUAAUGUGGAUAUAGGAAUGACUCUGGAUAUAGGAAAGUCGUCUAGUCUGCGCUCUUUGAAUGUGAUAGGCUUUGUCAAUCUCCAAAUCCUUCCAGGUGUCAUAUCAAGUCUAUCCCACCUUGAGGAAUUUCAAGUUACAAACUUUAGACAAUGGGAGAUUGAAGGCAAUGCAAGCCUGGUUGAACUAAAUUCAUUGACUCGCUUAAUCAGUUUACAAGUUGAUGUGCCAAAUGUCAAGUUACUGCCCAUCAAUGACCUCCUGUCUAAGUCGUUAAUCAGAUUUCAAAUAUCCAUUGGCCAGGGAUUACACUUUUAUUGCUUUUGACCGCACUUCAUCUAGAAAAAAUUUGGCAACUGCAACAAAGAUAUUGAAACUAAAGGGAAUUCCUUUGAAGAGGGAGCUUCACAUUUUGAUGGAGAAAGCUGAAGUGCUAUGUUUAGAAGGACUGGAAAUUUUAAAGAAUGUGAGUCAGGACAGAGAUGGAGAGGGGUUUCUAGACUUGAAGUUUCUUGGAGUUGAGUAUUGUGAGGGGAUAGAACAUUUAUUUGGCAGACCAAAUUGGAAUUCACAGACCAUCGGAUCACGUGUGUCUUGUUCUUUUAGUAAAUUAAGUAUUUUACAAGUAUUCAAGUGUCCGUCGAGAUAUCUCUUCUCCGCAGCCGCAGCAAGAGGCCUUCUGCAACUCCAAGAAUUAAAGAUAUGGAACUGUGAAAACUUGGAAGAAAUAGUUGGAGAUGACAAUUAAUGAAAUCAUGAAUAAUGUUUUUACUUUUCAUCAAUUAAAGAAUAUGAGGUUGGAGUAUCUACCAAAACUGAGAAGCUUCAAUGCCAAUACGAAGAAGACGUCAGCUGAAGAAUGCAAUGUGUCCGGCCUUGCACAACUGUUUAAUGAUAAGGUUGAAUUUCCUAUCUUGGAUAGAUUGAUACUGAGUGAUGAGAGCAUCUUCGAAGGUACAUGCCAUGUCCUUCCCUUUUGCAAAGUACCAAAAUCCCUGGAGGUGCACAACUGCAGAAACUUAGUAAAUGUUUAUACCCUGCUACAGCGGUUUGAGACUACUCAAUUGACACUGGUGGAUUUACCUAAAUUGGAGCGUAAUUGGAUAAUGGAACCCCAGGGGCAUCUGGUAUUUCACAACCUAACAAAAUUGACAGUAGAAAAAUUGGGACUGAAGUGUCUAUUCUCACUCUCAAUGGCAAAAAGUCUCGCACAACUCAGGGAUCUAAGAAUUCAAAAUUGUGGUGUGAUGGAAGAAAUACUUAAAAACCAAGGAGGAGGAGGAGGAGAAAAUGCCACGGAUGAAAUUGAGUUCUCUCAGCUAGGGCAUCUGAUACUUUCAUAUCUACCAAACCUCACAUGUUUUUGUCAGGCAAACAAUGCUUUUAAAUUCCCAUCUUUGACGCGUGUUGAUAUAAACGUGUGUCCGGAAUUGAAGACUUUCACGUCUGGAUACUUAAGCACACCGGAUAUACUAGUAUACAAAGAUUGGAAGUUUAGUCGUGUAAGUGACCUUAAUAAUCAUGUGCAACAAUUUCCGAAAGGAAAGGGAGUAGCAGUGGAGGAUAAUAAUGAUGCAGAAACAAGUUAAGAAGAGGGAGAAACCACGAUGACCAUAUUCGCUAAAUCAGUAAAUAAGGUUGAAUUUCCUAUCUUGGAUAGAUUAAUACUGAGUGAUGAGAGCAUCACAGAAGAUACUUGCCAUGUCCUUCCCUUUUGCAAAGUAAUAAGAUCCCUGGAGGUGCGCAACUGCAGCAACUUAGUAAAUGUUUCUACCCAGCUGCUACAGCGGUUUGAGAAUAUCCAAAUGCUCACUCUACAAUCUUGUUACUCAUUGGAGGUUAUCUUCAACCUUGAACGACUGCGGGUGUUUCACAGCCUAACAUCUUUGACAGUUGAAAGAUGCAACAGGCUGACGUAUCUAUUCUUACUCUCAAUAACAAGAAGUCUCACACAACUCAGGGAUCUAAGAAUUGAAUAUUGUGAUGUGAUGGAAGAAAUACUUAAAAAUGAAGAACAAGAUGCCACCGAUGAAAUUGUGUUCUCUCAGCUACGGUAUCUGUGGCUUUCAUGUCUACCAAACCUCACAUGUUUUUGUCAGGCAAACAAUGCUUUUAAAUUCCCAUCCUUGAUCCAUGUUGAUAUAAAAUACUGUCGGAAAUUGAAGACUUUCACAUCUGGAUACUUAAGCAUACCGGAUAUAAAAGUAUCCAGAAAUUGGAAGUCAAGUCGUGUAAGUGACCUUAAUAAUCGUAUGCAACAAUUUCUGAAAGGAAAGGUAACUACGUACAUUUGCUUUUGUCCUUAGCAGAAGACAUCACUUGGUUAAUACUUUUCAUUUAAUUUAUAUUAUUUUGGAUAAGUUUUUCUAUUAUAUACAUUCUCAUUUUUCAACAUUGUCUACCCCUCUGACUCUGCCACCGUGUAUUAUAUAAGUAUAUAUAAUUUCAUUAAAUCAGUUAUAUUUUAUUUUAUUAUUUCAUGAAUAUCUUACAUAACCUUACAUGUUUUUGUCAAGCAAACAAUACUUUUAAAUUCCCAUCCUAGACAACCGUUAAAAUACACGAGUGUCCGGAAUUGAAAACUUUCACAUUUGGAUACAUAAGCACACUGGAUGCACAAAUAAGCAUAAAUUUUAGGUCAAGUCGUGUAGGUGACCUUAAUAAUCAUGUGCAGCAAUCUCGGAAAGGAAAGGGACUAGUGGUGGUGGAUAAUAAUGAUGAAGAAAUAAGUUAAAAAGGGCGAAACCACGAUUACCAUAUUCCACUAAAUCAGUAAAUAAGGUGCAUCUAAAUUCUUGUGGGACCAGUUUAAAUCAAUGGUAGCAUUAAAAGUUGAAACUGGUAGCAUUAAUCAGAAAGUCUCAGAAAUACAGAGUUGGUGGAUCCAAUCAAAUGGGUUGUCUUACAAUUGCUAGUAUUUUGAAUUACCAAUUUGAAGAGGCAUUGAAUUAUGACGUGCUUCCAACUUUGGAAUUAUAGUUCAUUAUUUAUUUAUUUUUUGUUUGUCAUUUUUUUUUUAUUAUUAUUUUUUGUUCUAACAAAGAACUCACCACCUGCAAUGCUGUCGAGGAGAUUAGUGCUUUCUUUCUUUCACUCCAAAGAGUAGAGGUGAUAUCAUAAAACGGAAGCAAGAGUACUAGGAGCGCGAA